rnacentral:rRNA from 1 species
CUUGUGGGAAGACCGUCUCCAUACAAUAACAAAAGAUACAACUCUUAGCGGUGGAUAUCUUGGUUCUCGCAACGAUGAAGAACGCAGCCAACUGCGAUACCUAAUGUGUGAAUUGCAGGACUCCGUGAAUCAUUAAGUCUUUGAACGCAAGUUGC